GGCCCUCGAGAAGGUUGCCGAAUCGAUCCAGCUUCCAUGCAAAUACCAAAGCCUGGGCUGCACCGAGAUCCAUCCUUACCAGAAAAAACUUAAGUAUAAGGAGUUGUGCAGGUUCAUGCCAUGCAGCUGUCCAUACGCAGGUUCAGAGCGUCUAAUCGCAGGCGACGUUCCGAUGCUCGUGUCUCAUCUCAUUAUUGACAACUUUCUUCUGUUUCUAGUGAAUGUCUCAAUGCAAACUGUUUUAUUUUCUUUGUUUAUUUGAUUAUUGUUAGGACACAUGAAAAUCAACCACAAUAAAGGGAGUAAGAUUAGGCAUGCAGCCUAAUUAUUUUAUCUUCUAACCUGAGCUUGAAUUACUUGUCUUAUAAACUGUAAUUCCGGUAGACGUUGUCAAACAAGGUUGAUGUUAUAGUUUCUUGUAGCAUCUCUUUGUCCACAUGUCUAUUAUUAUGCCCAUGUGUACAGUAUGUUCUAUUUGAAUUCACUUGCAAAUAAUCUAACCAUAGCAGCGGUUUCAGUAAUUAUAUCAUCACUGCCUUGUUCUGAGAUUUGCACAAAAUAACUUGAUGGCCAAUAUUUCAUCACAAAACGCUGAAUCAGAAUGUGAAGUGAUUUUAUAGUUUUCUAGGGUUCUAUUCACCAAAGGACUAUCUAUCUACAUUUGCCUUUCUAUAAACCAUUAAGACCUUUUGCUAGAGACAGGGCUCCCCUUCCAGGGGCUGUAUUGAUUGUUUUUUUGGAAUACAUGUUUUGUAUAUAGUGGUUAUUAAGCCUCAUCAAAAUAUGUCAUCUGUCAGCAUUACUGAUGUAUGGCAACACCGAUAUGGCUUUUUUAUAAUAGCAAUUAUAUAUUGUGAUGUUCCAUACAUUUGUUGUUGGUUGAACAUGAUCCUUGGUUCUAUAUAAAAGUAGAACUAUUCAUUGCAAGUUUAAUGCUGCAGCAUUAAUAACACUCCCUUUAUACUUGCCGUCUCACACCUUGCUCACUUGUUCUUGCAGUCUCGAUGAAGCCAUGAUGCUUACCUUGCUGGAGGGCAUCAACCCCGGCCAUGGCACCACAUUCUUAGUCUUGAGCUUGAAGUGUCCUCAGUCAAGAGAAGGCUCCAAUAACUUUGUGGUUGGUGGAUCUACACCUACCCAAGCAAGCCCAGUGACACGCACUGCGGCUCAAGAUGUUUCGACCUCCACGCCACAGUGAUCACUCCAGGUUUGCAUCACGAAUGUCGUCGGCGGUGGGCAUACAUGCUACGGUGGACGCUCAUUGCAUAUUGUAGGUUGAACUCAUGCUUUCGUUUGUGAACUCUUGUUGCAUAUGUAAUGUUGUUGUGAACCCUCCUUGAAUAUGUAUAAAUGCUUUUGUGAAACUAUAUUGAAUAUGUAUGAGUGUGUGGACUUUGAACUCAUCAUUGGUUUGUUCUUG